CCUACGGGAGGCUGCAGUGAGGAAUAUUGGUCAAUGGACGCAAGUCUGAACCAGCCAUGCCGCGUGCAGGAAGACGGCCCUAUGAGUUGUAAACUGCUUUUGUACGAGGGUAACCGCAGAUACGUGUAUCUGUUUGAAUGUAUCGUACGAAUAAGGAUCGGCUAACUCCGUGCCAGCAGCCGCGGUAAUACGGAGGAUUCAAGCGUUAUCCGGAUUUAUUGGGUUUAAAGGGUGCGUAGGCGGUAGGUUAAGUGAGAUGUGAAAUACCGGGGCUCAACCGCGGCAUUGCAUCUGAAACUGGUCGGCUAGAGAGCAGGUAGGGCAGGCGGAAUUUGUGGUGUAGCGGUGAAAUGCUUAGAGAUGAUGAAGAACACCGAUUGCGAAGGCAGCUUGCUG
rnacentral:rRNA from 1 species